AGAGUUUGAUCAUGGCUCAGGACGAACGCUGGCGGCGUGCUUAACACAUGCAAGUCGAGCGGAAAGGCCCUUCGGGGUACUCGAGCGGCGAACGGGUGAGUAACACGUGAGCAACCUGCCUCAGCUCUGGGAUAGCUCCGGGAAACCGGAAUUAAUACCGGAUAUGACCACGAUCGACAUCGGCCGUGGUGGAAAGGAUU
rnacentral:rRNA from 1 species